AUGGUAGGGGUCAAAGAGGUCCAGAAGAGCUCUGACAGCGUAUGCCAAAAUGGUCAGAUAUUCAAAUCAGAAAUUCUGCUCUUAUUUCCAGGCUAUUCAACUGCAAGCAGCUCACCUGAAUCAAAAAAGAUCUCCAAUACCUCUGAAGAGGCACUGGGCUGCCCCCCAGCCUGGAAAAGACACGGGGGAAAAUGCUACUUCUUUGCUCAAGGACAAGAACUAAAAGACUGGAAUGCCUCCCGGAAAGAAUGUACUGAGAUGAAUUCAGACCUGGUGAUCAUUGACAACCAGGAUGAACUGGUGAGGUUAAAUUCAUGGGGCUGCUUCUAGGGCUGCUUGACCUGUAUGGCAGAGGGAUGAUGGAUUUACACUUGCAUCUUCUCACCUUAGAUGUCUUUGGGGCUCUGUCUGUAUGUUGGCAAAUGCCUUUGCACAGAUGUUUCCACAGGAAACAUCCAGAAAGCAGGGGGUUUUGCACUAAGUUUUCUGUG
rnacentral:lncRNA from 1 species